rnacentral:lncRNA from 1 species
AUUUUUGUGAAAUAAAAUAGAGUUGACAUUUUAGAAAAUUUUGGAGAUUUUACAACACAUCUAUAAGUGUAAUUUUGUAGGUUGGUGGGUAUAGUUGUACUUGAUGUGUAUUGUGAAUUUAAGAUCAAUGGAACGAUGUCAUAUUAUAUAUCAUCCUAUUUAGAAAUGCAUCGGACAUUUGGCUAUGGAAAGUGAGGUUGUAUUUAUAAGUAUUGAAGAAUCCUAAUAUGUUUUAUCUUAGAAGAAAAAUGUAAUUUGAAUUUUAUUUCAAAAGUACUUAAAUUCAAUACAAAGUACUCAAAAACAAUCUUCUUAGUAAUCUCAACUAUACAUAAACUCCAAUUGCAUGACUACUUUAAUAAUUAGGUAAUUUUGA